GAUGAACGCUGGCGGCGUGCCUAAUACAUGCAAGUCGAACGCACAGCGAAAGGUGCUUGCACCUUUCAAGUGAGUGGCGAACGGGUGAGUAACACGUGGACAACCUGCCUCAAGGCUGGGGAUAACAUUUGGAAACAGAUGCUAAUACCGAAUAAAACUUAGUGUCGCAUGACACAAAGUUAAAAGGCGCUUCGGCGUCACCUAGAGAUGGAUCCGCGGUGCAUUAGUUAGUUGGUGGGGUAAAGGCCUACCAAGACAAUGAUGCAUAGCCGAGUUGAGAGACUGAUCUGCCACAUUGGGACUGAGACACGGCCCAAACUCCUACGGGAGGCUGCAGUAGGGAAUCUUCCACAAUGGGCGAAAGCCUGAUGGAGCAACGCCGCGUGUGUGAUGAAGGCUUUCGGGUCGUAAAGCACUGUUGUAUGGGAAGAACAGCUAGAAUAGGAAAUGAUUUUAGUUUGACGUUACCAUACCAGAAAGGGACGGCUAAAUACGUG
rnacentral:rRNA from 1 species